CCUCUUUUUCUUUUCUCAAGUUCUCAGUUGGCAGCUCUCACCUUCAGGCUUCAAUAACUAAUUCAAGGUACACAUCUUUCUUUAAUAAAUCUUUCUUGUCUUUAGGCUGAAUGAUUGCAAUUGAUUUUGAUUACAUAUUAUGUGUACUUAUAAUUCAUGCUUCUUGUAUUUUAGAUGGAAUCAACUGAAGAACAACAAAAUCGUGACACUCUUCCUAAAGAUUCAUCCACUGACUUGAAAGGGGCUACUGAAAUUUGAUGUUUGAUUUGCAAGCCUAACAUUUAAAUUUUAAACUCUUUUGUUAUGCUUAGAUGACAUUUGCAAAAUUCUAAUAACAAUAUAUCACAAUAUUAAAUGAUUAAUUAUUAUGGUUUAUAAAUAAAAAAAACCGAAACCGAUAACGGUUAACCGAACCGAAAAAAACCGUUUUGUACGGUUCGGUUACGGUUAAUAGGUAGAAACCGAACCGAACCGAUGCAUAUGGUUUGGUAACGGUUUUAUCAAAUAACCGAACCGAACUUAACCGUGCACACCCCUAA
rnacentral:lncRNA from 1 species